rnacentral:rRNA from 1 species
GACGAACGCUGGCGGCGUGCCUAAUACAUGCAAGUAGGACGCAGUUGCGAACGGGUGAGUAACGCGUAGGUCACUGCCUAUUAGAGGGGGAUAACUAUUGGAAACGAUAGCCAAUACCGCAUACUAGUAGAUGGACCUGCGUUGUAUUAGCUAGUAGGUAGGGUAAUGGCCUACCUAGGCAACGAUACAUAGCCGACCUGAGAGGCUGCGCUGCCACACUGGGACUUGCACAAGGCCCGGACUCCGACGUGAGGCCGCCGUAGGUACUCUUCGGCAAUGUGGCGAACCCUAACCGAGCAACGCCGCGUGAGUGAAGACGGUUUUCGGAUCGUAAAGCUGUGUUAUUAAGGAAGCGGUACUUAACCAGAAAGGGACGGCUAACUACGUGCCAGCCGCCGCGGUAAUGC